UACGUAGGGGGCAAGCGUUGUCCGGAUUUAUUGGGCGUAAAGAGCGUGUAGGCGGCCAGGUAGGUCUGCUGUGAAAACUCGAGGCUCAACCUCGAGACGUCGGCGGAAACCAUCUGGCUAGAGUCCGGAAGAGGAGAGUGGAAUUCCUGGUGAUAGCGGUGAAAUGCGCAGAUAUCAGGAAGAACACCCGUGGCGAAGGCGGCUCUCUGGGACGGUACUGACGCUGAGAGCGAAAGCGUGGGGGAGCAAACAGG
rnacentral:rRNA from 1 species